AUGUGCGGCAGAGCAUUACUCGCGGACGUCAAGGUUCCCGUGGUGACGCGGAAGGUGAUGGAGGUCACGGUGUGGCCCGAGAAGAAGAAGCACCGGCGAGGAGGUGGCGGGGGUCGGCGCUUCACGGGGCACAGCGGGCACAGGGGACUCGAGCUAUACAACGAGGAGGAGGACUUUGAGGCCGAUUUUGAGAAGUUCAAGGCUGACUCCAGGGACUAUGACCUGGAUCUCGGUCACGGUGGGGUGGCUGAGAAGGACGACGAUGAUGAGGAAGUCGAGAUCAAGCCCUUGGUCGCCGUCAAGAGGUCCCUCUCCCAUGAUGACUUAAGCACCAUGCCUACUGCUAGUUUUGACGGUCCUUCAGAAAGGCCAGCAAAAAGGAAGAGAAAGAACCAAAUCAACGUUAUCCGUCGGCGCCCCUUGGGUAAGUGGGCUGCUGAAAUCAGAGAUCCUAGCAAGGGUGUUCGUGUCUGGCUCGGUACUUUCAACAGUGCUAAAAAAGCUGCAAGAGCUUAUGAUGCUGAAGCACACAAGAUCCGUGGCAAGAAGGCCGAGGUUAACUUUCCAGAGGAACCAACAGGAUCUGCUGACUUUGCAUCAAACCAACCACCUGUCCCUGCAAUGAACUCUGCUGCCCCUAUUGAAGUUCCUGUAAUGGAUAUCUACUCUGACCAGGGAAGCAACUCUUUUUGCUGCUCUAACUUGGACUGGGAGUAUGACACCAAGAGUCUAGAUAUAUCAUCAAUUGCUCCCAUUUCUACCAUUGCUGAAGGAGCAAAAUCUGCGGUUGUCAAGAAUAACACAUAUAACUCAUUGGUGCCUCUUUUUAUGGAGAAUAAUGCUAUCAAUUUUGAACCUUGGAUGAGAUAUCUUAUGGAUGAUAGCGUGGAUGAGUUGAUUGAUAGCCUACUGAAUUUUGAUGUGCCUCAGGAUGUCGUUGGCAACAUGGACCUUUGGAGCUUCGAUGACAUGCCCAUAUGUGGCAAAUUUUUCUGA
rnacentral:rRNA from 1 species